rnacentral:rRNA from 1 species
GAUGAACGCUAGCGGCAGGCCUAACACAUGCAAGUCGAGGGGCAGCGGGAUUGAAGCUUGCUUCAAUUGCCGGCGACCGGCGCACGGGUGCGUAACGCGUAUGCAACCUACCCAUAACAGGGGGAUAACACUGAGAAAUCGGUACUAAUAUCCCAUAACAUCAUGAGGGGCAUCCUUCGUGGUUGAAAACUCCGGUGGUUAUGGAUGGGCAUGCGUUGUAUUAGCUGGUUGGUGAGGUAACGGCUCACCAAGGCGACGAUACAUAGGGGGACUGAGAGGUUAACCCCCCACAUUGGUACUGAGACACGGACCAAACUCCUACGGGAGGCAGCAGUGAGGAAUAUUGGUCAAUGGACGCAAGUCUGAACCAGCCAUGCCGCGUGCAGGAUGACGGCUCUAUGAGUUGUAAACUGCUUUUGUACGAGGGUAAACCCGGAUACGUGUAUCCGGCUGAAAGUAUCGUACGAAUAAGGAUCGGCUAACUCCGUG